AGAGCUUCGAGCAUCAAUAAUGCAAGACGUGAUCUUCAUCUGGUGGCUGUGGCUUGAUCUCCAGCUCGUCUCAAUCCCGGCAGAGGGGAGUGGUCCUUCUUCCACUGUAAAGGGAUGGUAAUGUAUCCUCUAUUCGCAUUCCCUUGAACUGAAAAACAGCAGAACAGAACUAUAUCAACUUCAGAAACAAAGGAAAUGUGCCACCAAGGCAACCACCAAUCUACCCCGAUGGAGGCUGGAGAGUUUGAAUCAAAUCUAAUGAGGCAUUUCUUUGUUCUUGUGUCUUGCAUCAUGCUUUCAGGUCUCAAGUCUACAGUCUAUACUAAUAUCAAGUAUACAAAACUUAAAACAAGGACUUCGUUGAGUUCACUGCCACCAGCCCCCCCCAACUCUCCCUCAUGCUCCUCCACCCCAGGCACCUCUUCCACCACCCUAGACACCCCUUCCAAGAGGAGAGUGCCAAGGAGCAGGCGAGGCAUGAGGAGAGCGAGGCAAAGUUGGCGGAAUGGUGGAGAAUAUGUGAUUCUCCACCAUUCUCUCAAAAGCUGAGAGAGUGUGUGUGUGUGUGUGUGUGUGUGUAUUUUUAGGUGUGCAUGCGUGAGUAUUUUUAGAUGUGUGGUUCAGUGUUUCUUAUUUAAAUAAAG
ensembl:lncRNA